rnacentral:rRNA from 1 species
GACGAACGCUGGCGGCGUGCCUAACACAUGCAAGUCGAGCGAAUGAAGUUCCUUCGGGAAUGGAUUUAGCGGCGGACGGGUGAGUAACACGUGGGCAACCUGCCUCAUAGAGGGGAAUAGCCUUCCGAAAGGGAGAUUAAUACCGCAUAAGAUUGUAGUACCGCAUGAUACAGCAAUUAAAGGAGCAAUCCGCUAUGAGAUGGGCCCGCGGCGCAUUAGCUAGUUGGUGAGGUAACGGCUCACCAAGGCGACGAUGCGUAGCCGACCUGAGAGGGUGAUCGGCCACAUUGGGACUGAGACACGGCCCAGACUCCUACGGGAGGCAGCAGUGGGGAAUAUUGCACAAUGGGGGAAACCCUGAUGCAGCAACGCCGCGUGAGUGAUGACGGCCUUCGGGUUGUAAAACUCUGUCUUCAGGGACGAUAAUGACGGUACCUGAGGAGGAAGCCACGGCUAACUACGUGCCAGCCGCCGCCGUAAGAC